rnacentral:rRNA from 1 species
GUGGGGAAUCUUGCGCAAUGGGCGAAAGCCUGACGCAGCCAUGCCGCGUGAAUGAUGAAGGUCUUAGGAUUGUAAAAUUCUUUCACCGGGGACGAUAAUGACGGUACCCGGAGAAGAAGCCCCGGCUAACUUCGUGCCAGCAGCCGCGGUAAUACGAAGGGGGCUAGCGUUGCUCGGAAUUACUGGGCGUAAAGGGCGCGUAGGCGGACAGUUUAGUCAGAGGUGAAAGCCCAGGGCUCAACCUGGGAAUUGCCUUUGAUACUGGCUGUCUUGAGUACGGGAGAGGUGAGUGGAACUCCGUGUGUAGAGGUGAAAUUCGUAGAUAUUCGGAAGAACACCAGUGGCGAAGGCGACUCACUGGCCCAAUACUGACGCUGAGGCGCGAAAGCGUGGGGAGCAAACAGGAUUAGAUACCCGUGUAGUCC